rnacentral:rRNA from 1 species
AUCCAGCCAUGCCGCGUGUGUGAAGAAGGCCUUUUGGUUGUAAAGCACUUUAAGCGAGGAGGAGGCUACUCUAGUUAAUACCUAGGGAUAGUGGACGUUACUCGCAGAAUAAGCACCGGCUAACUCUGUGCCAGCAGCCGCGGUAAUACAGAGGGUGCAAGCGUUAAUCGGAUUUACUGGGCGUAAAGCGCGCGUAGGUGGCCAAUUAAGUCAAAUGUGAAAUCCCCGAGCUUAACUAGGGAAUUGCAUUCGAUACUGGUUGGCUAGAGUAUGGGAGAGGAUGGUAGAAUUCCAGGUGUAGCGGUGAAAUGCGUAGAGAUCUGGAGGAAUACCGAUGGCGAAGGCAGCCAUCUGGCCUAAUACUGACACUGAGGUGCGAAAGCAUGGGGAGCAAACAGGAUUAGAUACCCUGGUAGUCCAUGCCGUAAACGAUGUCUACUAGCCGUUGGGGCCUUUGAGGCUUUAGUGGCGCAGCUAACGCGAUAAGUAGACCGCCUGGGGAGUACGGUCGCAAGACUAAAACUCAAAUGAAUUGACGGGGGCCCGCACAAGCGGUGGAGCAUGUGGUUUAAUUCGAUGCAACGCGA